rnacentral:rRNA from 1 species
ACUAACUUACGGGGGGCAGCAGUAGGGUAUCUUCCACAAUGGGCGAAAGCCUGAUGGAGCAACGCCGCGUGGGUGAAGAAGGUCUUCGGAUCGUAAAACCCUGUUGUUAGAGAAGAAAGUGCGUGAGAGUAACUGUUCACGUUUCGACGGUAUCUAACCAGAAAGCCACGGCUAACUACGUGCCAGCAGCCGCGGUAAUACGUAGGUGGCAAGCGUUAUCCGGAUUUAUUGGGCGUAAAGGGAACGCAGGCGGUCUUUUAUGUCUGAUGUGAAAGCAUUCGGCUUAACCGGAGUAG